CAACUCGUGCGGUUAUUGGGAGCACCGGUGAGUAUCACGGUCGUGUUCUCAUUAGCCAAAUUUGUGAGAGCUAUCAUUGUCUCUGGCUCAGUAGCAGAUGAGGCAUCAAGAAGAAAAAUGUGACUAAAAUGUCCAGCAGGUAUGCCCUCGUUGUGGAGGCGAAAGCUGCUUGUAAAAGUUGAGAAUAUUACCCUGAAUUGCAUCAAUUCCUGAAGUGAAGGCAAUUGAAAACCCUUCCCCUCUUCAUAAAGGCACGAGGGGAGGAUGUCAACUGGUACCCCAUCUACCUCUCUGAAUGCAGCGUUGGCUCGAAACAUAUCAGACUUUGGAAUCUUCUUCUUCAAACUUCUCAUUAGUACAUCACCUGUUCUAUUUAUAGGAGCACAGACUAGAAUUCGACACUGAGAUGACCUCUUAUAAAUUUCAAGUACUGCUUCUUGAACAACCAAUCCAGUUUUGGAUAGAUUGUCACUAGUUGCACAGAGUGGACCCUCUACAAGAUAAGGUGGGCUCCCAUGUAAGCUUAGGAUCCGACGAACUACAGAGUUGCCAUUUGAGUCAAGGUUACGAUUACCAUAAAGACAAGUUUCUGAGGAACUGAUGUUCUUUCGAGAGACAAAAUCGGGAAAAAGGUAGUUCUUAAAUAAAGAACGUGAUGCAGCUGCAAUUGCUUGGUGAGCUCGUUUCAAACAGACUCGGUUGAAUGAGAAGCUAAUAUCGUAUAUGUACUUUGGAUGAUGCAGUGAAUAAAAAUCUUCUUCAAACUCAACCAACACUACGUUGCUCUUCACCACCCGGUAUAGAAUACCCUGGACAGGAUUUGAGAAAACAAAUAUUCGGGAAAUUAAGGAGAUAUUUUCCGAAGAUAUUCAACCAGAAAAACAAAAUGUCUGGAUAUCCAAGGACUAGGAGACGCAUUACAUUUAACUUUUUAUGGAUUCUUUCAGGAUUAACCAGUUGCUAAUCAAUGAAUACUUUCUCUCUGUAUCACAUGACUGGGAAAAGAUAAAAUCAAUUCUGAAAAGGAAAUAACAUUGUUGGCUGAUGCUUUGUUGAGCCGCUAAACAGGCCGGAUGUCCUCAAACAAAAACUAUAACAUGAUUACACACCGGCCUUUUGUUCCUCAUCUAAAGUUCAAACUGAGCAAUAGUUUGCAUUAAGUAGGUUUGCAGAAUUUCAAAUGGCAUAAUUUAUAAAUUAUAUUGAUAGCUGCGACUAGAAUUAUAUUCCAAAAAAUUGAAAGCAUAAGGAGAAAGAAGCAUAAAAUAGAUUCUCAAUUUGGCAGAAGAUAUGAAUAUUUAUCACUAAAAGAGAUUCUACAAAUUAUUAGUUUGAAAGAUCAGGAUACUUACUUGAAACUUCUUGGAUUUGCCACCUGAACGUUGUGCAUAAACAAAAUCUCUAGAUAAAAGAAAGGGUCGCCUCUCAGGAACAGAAUUAAUUUCAAAGGCUACAAAGAGUUUAUCAUCCGUCUCAUCACUCUCCUCCAGAUUCUUGUUCUUGAGUGACUUAUCAUAUAUUGCUGCUUUAUGCAACUCCAAUGUGACAUUGAAUAACUGAAAAUCGCUCCACUUCUGAUCAAAUCAAAGCCAUUAUUAUAUCUAAACACAAUUAGGAAGUAUGAUAGAAAGCACUUGGAUGAAACUGUAAUGUUUUUGGUCCGUAGACGCAUCUUGCAUUCAAUCAUCUAAAACAUGUAAGAUUCCUAAAAAUCACUUUUGUACCAAAUAUUGUUAUCUUCUAUGAAGAGUCGAUAUGGGCUGUAUUUACAGAGUAAGUUGCAGCUAAAGCAGUCCACUAGGGCUGCCUAUCUCUGUUAAAUUGCCUACCAACACAAAAUGCACCAAGAUUAUCAAUAACAUUGGAAUGUUACUAAUUCGGUGCUUUGAUGUUUUUGCUUACUCGCAAAUCUAAACAGGCUUGUCUCGUGAAGCCUAAUUGGUAAAUCUAACGACAAACUGAGACACAGAUAUAAAAUAUAAAAUCAUGUAUCUCCAGUAAAACAUGUUUGAUGGUUGCUAAAUACAGCACCCAUAUGAUGUUUUAUCGUAUACAAGGUAAACUCAAACAUUCCAAAGGGGGUAGUAAUGCACUAAACACAACAAAUGUGUCUUCCACCGAACAGCCACAGUACACAAUAUACGAUUGGUAGCAAUGAAGUUAUGUAUAAUGUAUAUGUAUAUGCAUAUAAAUAGAUAUACAUGUAUAUUAGGAUUCUAUCAUUUUGAGGUCAAUCAUGAGGUAUGCAUGACCAAGAAUCAAGGGAUCAAAUUUGAGUGGAAUGAUAUAAUAUCAUAAGACAUUAAGUGGUCAUUGAGUAGAAAAUCACUCCAACAAUAGUUUAACCUUAUUUAGUGAUGAUUCACUACUCUUGUAAUGCUAUAAAUGAGAGCUAAUCCACGGAGAAAGGUAGAAGAGACAAGCUAGAGACAAGCCAUUGAGCUAAAGAGUGCAAUUUGAGAGAAUUUGAGCCAAAAUUUCAAACUUAGAGGGUUCUUGCAACGUGAUCUGAGGGGAUUGUCCGGUUUUGUGAUCAUCUUCCGACCAGAAGUCAGUAGCACAACCUUAGUUUGUCGAUUUACCGCACAUAAUCCGAGUAUGUAUCUAAAUUCGGAUUUUAUGAGUUUUAUGUGUAUUCUCGCUUGCAAAUAACACACACGAAAUGAUACUCUAAAGAAUAACAUGCAAAAAGGUCACUGUUAAUCAAUCACCUCAAUGUAGAAAUCCUCAGCGUACAGCAGAGCAGCAAAGUAGUCUUUGUAAGUCGAUGGAGACAAUGGCUUCUCCAAAACGUGAGGCACGAUGUCUUUCUUGAUCAAAUCUUCAAUAUCCUCAGGAAUCUUGUAAUUAGAGGCACCCUUCUCGACCAAUAUAUAGCGAUCAUUUUCCUGCUGAUAUUUUGAAUCAGGAGGAAGCGGAGAAAGGGUACGCAGAGAAGAUGAAGGCGCCUUCUGAGACAAUGGAUUCUUCAAAUCUUCAGGCUCAAUAUCUUUCUCGAUCGGACUUUCAAUAUCCUUGGGAUAGUUAGCUUUCAUCUGGUCCUCCGUUGGAUUAAAGCAGAAUGGGCACCGAGUGGGCUUAGAGGACUGAGGGGCUUUUGGGAAUGAUGCGCCCUUCGGAACCCGUGUAUUAUUAGAUUUCAUCUGCUCAUUUGUUGGAUUAAAGCAGAGUGGACACUGAGUGGGCUUAGAGGACUCAGGGGUGCUCGGGGAUGAUGAAGUUGGCACGGAGGGAGAUUGAGAUGGACCACAUGAAGAUGGAGAUUGCUUAGCAGAUGAUCGAGGUUGAUCAGAAGUAAGGGGAGGUGCCACGGGUGUAGAGAACGAGGAGCAUGCUUUAAAAGAAGGAAUUGAAGGUUUAGGACUAGAAGAUGAUGGUGGAGGUUCAGUUGGAGAUACGGAUGGCUUAGAAGAAACUGAUGCAGGUUUAGGGAGUGAUGGCUUAGAGGAAAAUGGAGGUUGUGAUGUUCUAUAUUUCAAUCUCGAGGACGCUUCAUCAGUUCCUUCCAUAAACUUGUUAACAUAUUCUGAUUCAAUAGACACAGCUCCACUCCUUUUUGUAGUUGAGCUACUAGUUGGUAAAUUCGGGUAAUAAUCGUAGUACUUGAUUUGGGUUCGAUCAGAUUGGUCUUGCCGAUCGUUAUUCUCAUAACUAGAAUUCCUAACAGAAGUGUUAAGUGAAGCUGAUCCGCGUGAAGGGUCUCCCUUCGAAGUCUUACUUUCAGUUCCAUGAUCUUGGUCGCUUGAAAUGUAUCGCAAAAUUUGACCUAACACACACCCUGCGCAGCCUAUGAACAUCCACUUAAACAUCCUGCGGCGAAAGCAAAAUAAAGAAGAUUGAACACCAUUAAAGAAAUCAAUAAACUCAUGCAUGACUCUGUAAGUGCUAGUAAGAUGAAACUAUCCUGAAAUCAAAAUAAGUGAAGAUCAAAAGCACGAUUGAUUACCUUCUGCUUUUUUGGUUACAGAUGAGAACACUGGAACACAACUACGCAAGUGGUUUUUGUCAAUUUGAUCUUCCUUUCCAAAGAACGAAUUACACAUGAAGUAAAGAGCACUCCAACACAACUCAAGAAUCAAAAAAGUUAAAAGCUUUGCAUGGGAGAUGAAAGCAUAUUGUUUCUUACAUAGAAAGAAAACUCAACCAAGUGAGGCCACGUCAUCAUGUGGACCCAGGUGCCAUUGUAGGCCUGUGCCUGUGUGCCUGUGUAGCAUAUAAAAAGGAAAAAAAGAGGGAAGUACAUUUAUUUAAGUUUUUUACAUAUUUAUUAUUGCUUUGUUAAAGCUUCUUUAUUAAAAUUUACUUUAAUUUAUUAAAGUUUACUUUGUAUAUUUAUGAUUACACUUAUUAAAGAUUUACUAUAUAUUUAUUAUUUUAAUAAAGUUUACUUUAAUUUAUUAUUACAUUUAUUAAAAUUUAUUUUGUAUAUAUGAUUACACUUAUUAAAAAUUUAUUUUAUAUUUAUUAUUAUUUUAUUAAAGUUUCUUUAAUAAAAUUUAUUUUAAUUUAUUAUUAUACUUAUUAAGGUUGCUUUAUCUUUAUUGUUGUUUUAUUAAAAUUACUUUAUUAAAGUUUACUUUAUUGCUUUGUGUUUGUUAAUUCUCGAAAAUAUGGACUUGAAAGAAGGAAACAUAGAAUUAUUCCACUUCUUUCAUUAAUCAUCUUCCUGCUCUCCCAACACCAAAAUCUAAAUUCUAGAUCUCUCAUAGCAACAUUCUCCAAAUCUUCAAUAGAGUUAGAAAUCUUAGUUAAUUUGGAAGCUUCUCGAUUUGGUGAGUCUUUAUUACUUAUGUUUUUAUUGUUUUGAAUACAUGCUUAACUAGUAAGUAACUUGAUUAGGAGAUUAUUAACAAAUCCCUUUGAUAAUAAUACUUUUGGUUUCUCGAAUUAAAUAUGCUGGAUUGAUCCUUCCGCAUGUAAAUUGUCUUUGAGUAGCUCUAGAAGAUACUAGACUUUACUUUGGUCUAGCAUUUUUCUUCUUUGCCAUAAAUAGAUUUAACCAAAACAAAAAAAGCACGCUCAAGAAUGCAGUCUUCUUUUGGUUUUUGUUUUUGCUUCUGUUGAUAUAUGUUCUGGAGAUUGGUCUAGCAAUCUGAACCAGAAUUCUCUCUCUGUUUGUCCGGACAGAUCUCACAGUUCUUUAAGACCAAAUGGGUCAUUUGCAUGAAUCUUUUCGUGCCAUUCCACUAUACUCCAGUGCAGAAUCCUCGUUUAUCUUCUAACAUGAUGUUCUUUGAGUAUUGAAUUUUCCUUUCUCGGUUCUUAUUCAUGUUCUUUUGGUGCUUUCCAUACUGGGUUAAUACUUUGUAGCAACCCAUUCCUUGUACAUCUUGUUCAAGUCCAAUCAAUCUCAAAUAGUUUUUCCAUUAUUUUCUUCUCAAUGCCACUUCAACCUACAUUUAAAACCAGUAUUGACUCUUUCCAUCCUCCAUGAGCACUUCAUCAAUACUGAACUCAAAGCUUGCAACUUUUUAUAGGAUUUGUUGUCCAUUUUUAUUAGAUACAACGGAUUUAAAAUGUUGCAAAACAAUACGUCAUCUCACCUACUACAAUGUGCCUCCAAUCUUAAUCAACCCUUUCUUGGUGUUGAGGGCUUUCUUUCUAGUAUAUCCCCCAUUCACACUUAGUUUGGGAUUGUUAAGAGAAAGCUUAUUAAGUGACUAUGAAGAUUAAAGAGUUUUGAGUUAAUUCCUUCUGCUUAUUUUAAAGGACUUGAAUGUUUAUGUUAGCAAUUCACAUUUCUAUCACCUCUGUUGUAUUAUCGUCUUUGACAAUAACAGGAGUAUAAAAAUUCAUAAUGCAGGUUGCAACAAAAAAGAAAACUAUUUCAGACGAAGCUACUGUAAUCUUGCAGGCAAAACUGAAGCAGUUAGCACCUGCUAGUUCCUCCUGAUUGCUGUAAUAUUUUAUUUAAUUAUUCAAUUUAUGGCUUCGGGAAAGAACUGCUUCGUAAAACUGUCAGUGUGAAACUUCAGGUCUUUUAUCUGCAUCAUAAGUCGAGUGCUUGUUUUUUUGUUCUUUGUUUCAUUCAGAAUCGGGGAUGGUCUUCUCAGCUGAAAUCAAAUCAGACUUGGAUGUAGGCAUUCAGAUAUAUCAAUGCUGACAUGUAAUACACAGUGGGACGAUACUUUUAUUACCUUUACAAAUUAGUUGCGGUAAUCAUGUUUUUCACAUUCUACCUCUUGCCCCACCUUGUUUCUUCUGGUUUUUCAAGUUGAAUAUGGUUACAUCAUUUCGUUUAUCUAUCCCUUGUUUUGCUUUGCUAUAUCAUUUAUAUUCAUGCCAACUGCUGGUAGUAUCAUUUGGAGACUAAGUAAAACAAAUUAGAAGGUUAGAGCUUCCAAAUUUGAAACAUUGUAUGUCAUGGUACAUCGGCUCUAAGCUGCUGCGUCAUGUCGUUCAAGCAAUCUCAAGGAUGGAGAGACCAAUCAAAUACAAGUACAAAAGCAACAGAUCGGAAGCAAUGUUCUUGCAUUCACACAAUUAUACGAAUUAGAAUUUAGGAUAAUAACAUAGAGAUAAAAUUUCGUCUCAAAGUUAAUAAAUCACCUCAAUGUAGAAAUCCUCAGCACAUAGUCGAGCAGCAAAGUAAUCUUUGUAGGUAGAUCAAGAAACAAUUACUUUUUCAAAACUUCAGGCUCAAUAUCUUUCUUGACCAGACUUUUAAGGAUGAUGAAGUUGGCAUGGUGGGAGAUUGAGAUGGACGACGUGAAGAUGGAGAUGGCUUAGCUGACAAUCGAGGAUGAUGAGAAGAAAAUGGAGGUGCUGCAAGUGAAGGCACAGAUUGACAAAAAGAAGAAGAUGCAGGCGUAGAGAGUGAUGAGGAUGUUUCGUAAGAAGGAAUUGAAGUUUUGGGACCAGAAGAUGAUGGGGGAGCUUCAGCUGGAGAUAGAAGUAGCUAAGAAGAAGCUAAUGCAGGUUUAGGGAAUGGUGGCUUAGAUUGAUGUGAUUUUGGUGAAGAUGGAGAUGGCUUGGAGAAAACUGAAGGGGUUAAUGUUGUAGAGUUCAAUCUUGUGGAAGCUUCAUCAGUUCCUUCCGUAGACUUGUUAACAUAUUCUGAUUGAAUAGACUUAGCACUGGAGGGGUUAAUGUUGUCAAGUCCAAGAUGAAACUAUCUUGACAUUACAAUAAAUGAAGAUCAAAAGCAAGAAUGAUUACCUUCUGGUUCUUUUACAGAUGGGAAUGCCCGAACAAGACUACAAGAGCUAUUUUUUCUUUUUUAAUUUUUCCCCCCUUUCCAAAGAACGUUUUAUGUAAAAGUAAAGAACCCAAGUCAAUCUCGAUAAUCCAACCAAAAGUUAAAGCUUUGCUUGAGAGAUGAGAGCAUAUUUGAUUCAUGCAAAUGAAGUAAACCCAAACAAGUGAGGCCACGUCAUCAUGUGGUUCCAGAUGCCAUGGCAGACACGACAUGUGGAAAAUAUAGAAAGACUGCAAGGCUCUUAUUAACUCCCACUUCCAUACUGCCAAAUGUUAUCCUUCUCGGGGAUUAAGAAAAAAUGAAUAAGAUGCCGACUUUUAAGAUAAGUCCAACCGGAAAGCUUAUUUUGGGGCACGAUUCUUAUUCUGAUUCACCCUCUUGCGGGUCCCUAAUCCGUAAUUAAAGAUAUAAAAGAUUCUAACAUCAAAACAUCAUUGCACCCAUCAGAAACAUGCCUCCAAAUCCAAUCUCAGUCGUCAAGAUAAUUCUACUGGCAAAAAUUGAAGUACACAAGUUCUAUUCUGAUAAUUACAACAGAACUAAUCUUUGUCGUAGCAUAAGAACAUAAUUAAUAAUCCAGAGAUGGAGUACUGUGACCUGCAUACAAUUUAUGAAGAUUUUAAUUUUUGUUAAUCUAGGGGAAUGAAAGCAAUCAAUCAUCGCGGAAUUGGACUGCAUGAAUUAGAUAGAGCAACAAGUGCAAAAGUAACGGAUCGAAGAAAUGUUCUGACAUUCACGCAUUUACAACAAGGCACAGUAGUAACAAACUCAUGAGAAGUAAACUAAGUUCUAAUAGAGGCUAUUGUUACCGCAGUACUCAAAAGUUUACAGCAUAGUAAUGAACGUCGGAUCGAAAUUGCUAUAGGUCUGGGUGGCAUGAAGUCUUUCAAAAUACGACACCCUUAAUCCCGUCUUCCUAGCAAUAUCGGAGCGGACCCAACUCGUGCGGUUAUUGGGAGCACCGGUGAGUAUCACGGUCGUGUUCUCAUUAGCCAAAUUUGUGAGAGCUAUCAUUGUCUCCGGCUCAGUAGCAGAUGAGGCAUCAAGAAGAAAAAUGUGACUAAAAUGUCCAGCAGGUACGCCCUCGAUGUGGAGGCGAAAGCUGCUUGUAAAAGUUGAGAAUAUUACCCUGAAUUGUAUCAAUUCCUGAAGUGAAGGCAAUUGAAAACAUUCCCCCCCUUCAUAAAGGCACAAGGGGAGGAUGUCAACUAGU
rnacentral:lncRNA from 1 species